GGAAGAUUCAUCAGGUUUGCUCCUGAACAGUCAGAGCGGCAGCAGGUGACUUGUUUACUUUCCUCAUUAAGAACAUAAGGCAAGAAAUAAUUCCACCGAGAAAACACAUUUUUAUCCGACUGGCUGGCGCAGUAUGAGAUGGAGGCAUGUCAAAAUGGAGCUUGUCAGUAAAGGAACUGAGGAACGGAUGUGAAGUCCUGAAGGGGUCUGAAGCAGAG